rnacentral:lncRNA from 1 species
AUAUUUGACACGCUAACAUUACCUUAAAAAUAAUGCGGCCCAUGCAAUGCACGGGCAUAAGACUAGUAAAACAGGAAAGUUUCGAUUCCCUCUUAAUUUUCUUUGGCCUCCCACCAAAACAAGUUCCCUAAUUUUGGAGAGCUCUUCCUCUUCCUCUUCCUCAACCAAAACCCUUCUCUCUCACAAAUUGCAAAAUCAUUCUAUCACCCUCUCCAAAUAUCCAACCGUCGCUUAUCUCAAUAUCACUAGCGGUUCAUAAAUUUGUCUCGUUUUCUUUCUCGUCGUACAUAUUCUUGGUGAAGCUUUUUCCCCAUAUCUUCCCCUUGUUUUUCCCUUUUCUUUUCCUCUCUUUUCUUCCACAAUUACUAUUUAUAGCUAGCUAUGUCAUGGGCUUUUUUUAUUGUGUUUGAUUUCGUUUUCUAUUUUGGGUUUUUUGGAUUCUUGAUUUCUCUAUUUGUGCAUAUCUACAUGGGUUUGUGAAAUAAGGAAAUAGAAAUUUUAAUUGUUGAUAAUGGAAGUGAUAGAGUGGCAUUCGAAGGUAGCAGUAAGUGAAAGGUAGAUUUUUUCCCAGGCAUCUUACGUGUGUACUAUUUCCUUAUUCUUUAUUUAUUUCUUAAGUUCAUGACAUUCUUUCUUCGUUCUGCAUCGUUGGAAUUUGUAGGAUCAUUAGAGCUUUCUUGGUGGAAGAGCAAAAGAUUGUGAAGAAGGUUUUGAAGAUUUAGAAGGCCAAGGAAAAGCUAUCUGCUAAGAGCUGAAGAAUCAGUCAUAUGCCAAUAUAGUUAUGAAUACUAUUAAUCAAGGAUGAUUGGAAUUGUAUUAUGAGGCUUCCAUGCUUAAAUUAUGUUUGUUUCUUAGAUUUUGUCAAAUGACUGCGUUCUUCUGUUUGUUGAAAAUUCUCAUAUUUGAUUUUGGUUUCCCUGCCUUUUCAUAACAUCUUAAACUUCAUUUGGAUUUACUCGUGUAAUCCUUGAUUUUUUUUCCUUAACUGAGUUUGAGUUAUCAUUAAUUAGCUACUUCUUCUGGUGAGUUUCAAUGGUAG